rnacentral:lncRNA from 1 species
UAUAAACCAAGGAGCCAGUAGAAACCCUGUGGAAAUGUCACGCUGUGCCCAAGACUUAACUCCCCAGGCCCAGCUUUAUCAAGUCUGAGCUGAGUUUUCCUUACUAAUUUGAAACAGGCAGCCAGGGAAGGAAAGUCAUGAAAUAAAGCAAGCAGAGUCUCUGCUCUCAGGAGCUGAAGAGGUGCUAAUUGUUGCUAAAGAUCUUAUCGGAUCCUAGUUAGAGGCAGUGUUUAACCUCUGACUCCUGGUUGCUGCUCCCCACAGGUCUCAACACCUGCAGUGGAGAAAAGCCCUCUUCCCUCCAGACCUUUCCACACUCCUGCAGUCUACAGAGGAAUGGCCCUUCCUGGGGAAAAUCCGUAACUGGCUCUGUAUUUAAGGAAAUGUGACAACAUAAGUGGAUCGAGCCAUAUGAGUUUGGACAACCAGGCAGCUAUGAUGUGGCAGAACCUAGGAGUGACAAGCUCCAAUGGAUAGACCCUGUCUUGGGAGUUUAGUAGAGAUGUGCAUGGAAUUUGAAAUCAGAUAAACUCAGGUCUUGUUGCAUGAGGCAAAUUACUUCUCUCUGAUCCUCUGAAUCAUCAUCUCUAAGAUGGUUUUAUUAUAUGGAUUGCUCACUUUGAGGAUUACCAAAUACCA